UACGGAGGGGGCUAGCGUUGUUCGGAAUUACUGGGCGUAAAGCGCGCGUAGGCGGACCUGCAAGUCGGGGGUGAAAGCCCGAGGCUCAACCUCGGAACUGCCUUCGAUACUGCGGGUCUCGAGUCCGGGAGAGGUGAGUGGAAUUCCUAGUGUAGAGGUGAAAUUCGUAGAUAUUAGGAAGAACACCAGUGGCGAAGGCGGCUCACUAGCCCGGUACUGACGCUGAGGCGCGAAAGCGUGGGGAGCAAACAGG
rnacentral:rRNA from 1 species